GCAGUAACUUAGUUGUGAGACAGCGUGGCUCACUGGACACUGCCCUGUGUCGACCCAAGGACGGGCUAUUGGAGAAUAUGGUUUAUUCUCUCGUUCAAAUCUUGCUGUUGGCCGUGUGUUAAAGGAUGCACGGAAAUGAGUUAGCAGCCAAGUGGUCGAGUAGGGCCGAGUGGUGUCAACGUGAGGGCAGUGUAGCUGAUCGUGUGGAAAGUGGGGUGCCAACUCCACUGGUUCUAAUUACAAGUCUGACUGUAGUGCCGGACUGGAGCAACAAAUAUGCCCAUUGGAUCAAGAAUGUGUAGUGCACUGAUGUGGGUAAUGUAAACUGGAAAUAUAAAUAAGGAUUGAGACAAAA